GGAGCGGUACUCAAGUUGGUUGAAGAGGACAGAUUCGAAAUCUGUUAGGUCGGGUAACCGGUGCCUGGGUUCGAAUCCCAGUCGCUCCG
rnacentral:tRNA from 1 species